rnacentral:misc_RNA from 1 species
GAGUAACCUGCAUUUCAUGUAAUCUUUCAAGAACUUCAAUAGCUUCCUUGGGUUUGUAUCCCUCAUUAGCAUCCAAGAUAAAGAAGCAAUCAGGAUAGGUUGCACGUAUGGCCUGAAGAACUUCAAUGUCUGCCUUGAGGUUCUUUCCCACCUUGAGUUUCAAAGUUUUGAAUCUUUGUUUGCGAUACUUUGAAGCCAAUUCAGCAGCUUCAGCUGGUGAUACAAUGGGAAUUGUUAUAUCAGUAGUGAUGCUAUCUGAAACUCCACCAAAUAGCCUCCAUAAUGGUAUGCCGAUGCUAUUAGCCGCUGCAUCAAUCAACGCCAUCUCAACUCCUGCCCUAACAGAAGCAAACUGAUGCCCUGGAAGAACCCCGCCAAUCUUCUUCAAAAGCGAGCCUAACGUCAUCGGCGGACAGCUCCUCAGCAACUCACAAGCCUCUCCGGCCUUCACCAUAGCUGUGGACUGAUCCUCUGCAGUAACAAACGGCAAUAUUGGGGCCUCACCCCAUCCCACACACCCAUUACUCAAUUCAAUCCUAAUAGCCACAUUCUCUACUUUAUCCAGCCUGGACGAGGCUAUUGUAAAUGGAGCUAUCAAGGGCACAUUUAGGGGUCUAUUUUCUGCUCUCUCCACAUCCACUGUCAAAGUUUCCAUCAGGUCCCUAAACCCAAAGCUUGUUGCUGUGUUGGGUGUUGCUGCAGCCAUUGAUUUGUCUGUAAAGAGCUUGCAAAUGGGUCUUGUUUGUAUGAAAG